UUUUGUACAUGUUAUAACCUGUACAAAAUCGCAACUUGUACACGACAUAUACAUAUAUUGUCACUAAGAAUAAUGUAUCAGUUUAAAAAAACAACAUGGGAAGACCCUUAUGUAAAAAGAUUAUAAAAUACAUGUGCCAUGGUUAUCCUGGUUGAAAUGUUACUUGUACUGAAACCGCUGUAUUGUAUAUAAAUGUAUGUAAAUUAAGCCCAAUUUCUAUUAAUAUGCUUUUCACUUUCUCUUUAUUUGUAUCUUCAAUGGAUAUGGUGAUGAAAUUGCUUGUACUGUUUAAUACUGCCUUAUCAAUUAAA
rnacentral:lncRNA from 1 species